AAAGGUCGAGUGUCUGGCUCCUGUCAGUAUACACGUGUCGAAAUUUAAAUUGUUACUUUCCGAGUGAAAUUGGUUGCCUUUUUUGUAUACUUUGUGGUGCUGUUGUUGUGUUUGUGAAGGCCUAAAAAACGUGCCAGUGAUGAAGCAUCUUCCUCCCAAACUACAUCGGAGCAACCUCCGAAACGUUCUUCAAACGCUCCUCCAAAUGCAUCUACCCAACAAACCUACAGCUUACCCGAAUUUGCUGACGGAUGGUGCAACCGAUCAUCGUCGUUUGAGUGAAUCUUGAUAAAUAUACCGU